rnacentral:rRNA from 1 species
GAUGAACGCUGGCGGCGUGCCUAAUACAUGCAAGUAGAACGCUGAAGGAAGGAGCUUGCUCUUUCCGGAUGAGUUGCGAACGGGUGAGUAACGCGUAGGUAACCUGCCUGGUAGCGGGGGAUAACUAUUGGAAACGAUAGCUAAUACCGCAUAACAGUAGAUGUUGCAUGAUAUCUACUUAAAAGGUGCAAUUGCACCACUACCAGAUGGACCUGCGUUGUAUUAGCUAGUUGGUGAGGUAACGGCUCACCAAGGCGACGAUACAUAGCCGACCUGAGAGGGUGAUCGGCCACACUGGGACGGAGACACGGCCCAGACUCCUAAGGGAGGCAGCAGGAGGGAAUCUUCGGCAAUGGACGGAAGUCUGGCCGAGCAACGCCGCGGGAGGGAAGAAGGUUUUCGGAUCGUAAAGCUCUGUUGUAAGAGAAGAACGAGUGUGAGAGUGGAAAGUUCACACUGUGACGGUAUCUUACCAGAAAGGGACGGCUAACUACGUG